CCUACGGGGGGCAGCAGUGGGGAAUCUUGCACAAUGGGGGAAACCCUGAUGCAGCGACGCCGCGUGAGUGAUGAAGCCCUUCGGGGUGUAAAGCUCUUUCGGCAGGGACGAUAAUGACGGUACCUGAAGAAGAAGCUGCGGCUAACUACGUGCCAGCAGCCGCGGUAAUACGUAGGCAGCAAGCGUUGUUCGGAAUUACUGGGCGUAAAGAGUGCGUAGGUGGUUGGCUAAGUUUGGUGUGAAAGCUCCCGGCUCAACUGGGAGGGUGCGCCGAAAACUGGCUAGCUAGAGUGUGGGAGAGGGACGUGGAAUUCCUGGUGUAGCGGUGAAAUGCGUAGAUAUCAGGAGGAACACCUGCGGUGUAGACGGCUCUCUGGACCGUUACUGACACUGAGGCACGAAAGCGUGGGGAGCAAACAGGAUUAGAUACCCUUGUAGUC
rnacentral:rRNA from 1 species